UACCGAGGUCUCAAGCGUUGUUCGGAUUCAUUGGGCGUAAAGGGUGCGUUGGCGGCGCGGUCAGUCGGGUGGGAAAUCUCGGGGCUUAACUCCGAAACUGCAUUCGAUACUGCCGUGCUUGAGGACUGGAGAGGAGACUGGAAUUUACGGUGUAGCGGUGAAAUGCGUAGAUAUCGUAAGGAAGACCAGUGGCGAAGGCGGGUCUCUGGACAGUUCCUGACGCUGAGGCACGAAGGCCAGGGGAGCAAACGGG
rnacentral:rRNA from 1 species